rnacentral:rRNA from 1 species
UAGGGAAUCUUCCGCAAUGGACGAAAGUCUGACGGAGCAACGCCGCGUGAGUGAUGAAGGUUUUCGGAUCGUAAAACUCUGUUGUUAGGGAAGAACAAGUACCGUUCGAAUAGGGCGGUACCUUGACGGUACCUAACCAGAAAGCCACGGCUAACUACGUGCCAGCAGCCGCGGUAAUACGUAGGUGGCAAGCGUUGUCCGGAAUUAUUGGGCGUAAAGCGCGCGCAGGUGGUUUCUUAAGUCUGAUGUGAAAGCCCACGGCUCAACCGUGGAGGGUCAUUGGAAACUGGGGAACUUGAGUGCAGAAGAGGAAAGUGGAAUUCCAAGUGUAGCGGUGAAAUGCGUAGAUAUUUGGAGGAACACCAGUGGCGAAGGCGACUUUCUGGUCUGUAACUGACACUGAGGCGCGAAAGCGUGGGGAGCAAACAGGAUUAGAUACCCUGGUAGUCCACGCCGUAAACGAUGAGUGCUAAGUGUUAGAGGGUUUCCGCCCUUUAGUGCUGCAGCUAACGCAUUAAG